rnacentral:rRNA from 1 species
GACAGAGGGUGCAAACGUUGUUCGGAAUUACUGGGCGUAAAGCGUGUGUAGGCGGUUAUGUAAGUCGGCUGUGAAAGCCCUGGGCUCAACCCAGGAAGUGCACUCGAUACUGCGUAGCUUGAGUACCGGAGAGGUUGGUGGAAUUCUCGGUGUAGAGGUGAAAUUCGUAGAUAUCGAGAGGAACACCGGUGGCGAAGGCGGCCAACUGGACGAGUACUGACGCUGAGACACGAAAGCGUGGGGAGCAAACAGG